AAUGGUUGGUGAUAAUUAAGAAAUUCCCGAUUCAUUGAGAUCCGUUGUGGGUCCGAUGUCGCAUGAUGGCUUUGGACCCCAUGCAUGAUAAUGAACCCUAACGAUAGGGAUUGCUCAAUAAUUACACCAUGAAAGAAGGAUUCUGUGACAUGAAAAAAGGGUGUUAGAGAAGGCCUUUGGUAGCACUAGGAGGAAGAGUGGAGAAGAUUAGUCAAUAAAGGACUCGAUUGCUGGCCGGAAAACAUCCGGCAGAAGCCGGGAUUGCCAACCAAGCCAGAGCUUUUUGGUUGAUUGUAGUUAAAAGCUGUCUUAUCGGUAUAUGGGAGGGAUCAAUCUCUUGUCUGGCCAAGUUGCAGCUAGCCUGUUUUACUGUAAUUGUAAGAGACAUUUGAUGAAGUUUAUCUCUCCGGCUAAGUUGUGGGCUGUCGGUGCCGAAUGCAUGUUAUGCCGAACACGUGUUUGGGUCAUUCUUCUUGCCUAAUCAUUUCUCUUUGAAGAAGAGAUAUAAUUUCCUCAUCUCAGCUCCAGCUAGCCUUGGUGCUAACUGAAUCCUGGCAAUGGCAUAUACACUUUUAUGCAAAAGUGAGUCUGGGAAACCAAAGCCAGAAGAGAUCAAUGAAAUGUGGUACUUCCUCUUCAUGAUUUAUAUACAGAGCGGAAUCCUGAAGGUCAUGUUGUAUUUCUAGUUAAUUAGGAAACGACAUCCCGUUUUUUGAAUCUUAUAUAGACGACAUGUCUAGUAUAACCAAAACUGUAUUUCAGCAAGAUCUUGUAUAUUUAUAUAUAGUGACUGUUUUUUUUCU